rnacentral:lncRNA from 10 species
CGAAGAGAGGGUGGACCACGGCUGCGCGCUGGCUCCGGGAAGCGGUCGAUGCCCGCGGCCGACGGAGACUACAACCCAGAGGCGGAGGACAAAGCGGAAGGCCGAAGAGCGAGGACGAAACCGGCGGAACCGCACUUUGGAGCCUAACGAGCCAUCGCUGCGUCUGAGACUGGGACCCGGAAGUAAACAGGCCGGACGUGACGCAAGCCGCUCGGCCUAGGGAUGGUGGCUGGCCGGGUUGUCAUGGAAACCGCUCAGGAGCAGGGAGCUGGGAGCUAUGAGUGCUGACUGCGUGAACUCGGCCUCCACUUCCCGGACCUGCCACUUAUCAUGAUCCACGAGCUGUACUCAUGACUCCGCACAAGCAAGCAGGGGCUGACGGUCGGAUCCCUCGCCCCCAUUUUACGGACAGAAGUACCGAGGCUCAAAGAGAGCCAGUGAGAUGCUGAAAUCACGCGUGAUUGGAAUCCAGCCUUGCUAGGGCUGCGGGUGUUACGGGCCGUGGGCGGCGGUUAAGAGCGCUAGUCAAGUGAAGCAAUGGGAAUGGAGAAGAAACAAAUCUAUAACUGGUUGUGAUGAAUUAGUCGUAAGCACCACUGCAAUUGGACCAGUCAAUACCAUGGUUAUCACAGGAGUGUGGCUGAGGCUGUGUUUGGCCCUGGGUGCCAGGUCUGCACCCUGCACUAAGGAUGGGUGAGGAACGACAGGCAGUCGAGCUGGUUGGUGCUACAGGUAACGAUAGUACCUACCAAAAUACAGGUUAAAUGAGAUAGUCCUUGUGACAUGAUAACAUGUUAAUUACUCAAUUAGCAUUAGCUAUCAUGAAUCAAUCCUUUUAUAUGUUUUAAAGCCUAGAGAAGCACUUUAUCCAUAGUGGCUGCUUAUUACAUUUAUUACAUUUCUCUUGAUUGAAUGAAAUGAUACAGUUUUGCUAACUACUAGCUCUUACUUCCCAUACUGUUUUCUUUUCAGGAUCCUCACUCUGAUCUAAGAGCAUAAUUUAAUUGUGUUGUCAGACAGCUUAUCUUCAGGGUUAUGACAUGGAGUCAGACUGCCUGGGACAUCAUAUUUAUUUAUUUAUUUAUUUAUUUAUUUAUUUAUUUAUUUAUUGAGACAGGGUCUCUGUCACCCAGGCUAGAGUGCAGUGGUGCCAUCUUGGCUCACUGCAACCUCCACCUCCCAGGCUUAAGCAAUCCUCCUACCUCAGCCUCCCAAGUAACUGGGACUACAGGCAUGCGCCACCAUGCCCUUGUAUUUUUUGUGGAGACAGGAUUUAUUCAUGUUGCCCAGGCUGGUCUCAAACUCCUGAGUUCGCCCUCUCCCUCUCCCUCCCCCUCCCCCUCCCCCUCCCCCUCCCCCUCUCCCUCUCCCCACGGUCUCCCUCUCUCUCUCUUUCCACGGUCUCCCUCUGAUGCCGAGCCGAAGCUGGAC